ACACUUUAGGUGCUGGUUCCUCCCACUAAAACCCAACAUUCACAUCUAUGAUAAGGUUUGAACUUAAACACAACCAGAUGUCAGUGCUACUGACACUGUAGCAAAGAUCUUUCUUCCUGCAUUUUUUUCCUAGGAAUGGGGAAGAGAGAGAAAGGCAGGUAACAGGGAAGUAAAACUGGACAAUGGAUGGGAGGAAAAGAUAACUCUAUUCUCAGGUAAUAUUCACAUAAUUUGAACAAUAUAAAAAUUUGUUCUCAAUGGGGUCACUAUUUUUAUGUCUUUUUCUUAAACUAGUAUGCUAUACAAGUCUGGAAAAAACAUUUAAAUUUGGCCAUGUAGGAGCAUGUGCUGAACUCCAGAUUAGAUUUUUGGUUAGUUAUCUAGCCUCUAUCCCUGCACAUGCUCUGGUCUAGUUGUUCAAUCAUAUGGGAAGAAAUGACCUGUGUCAGGGACAGGUUCUUAAAGUGAGAGCUUGAGCAUUUUUUUUUUGUGUCACACAGCUUGAUUUAUUGUUUCUUUAUUCACAUGAAAAUCAAAUUCAUUGAGUAAAUUAUAUAGUGUGAGCAUCUCUUCUGUUAUCAUAGUAGCAGGGUGUGCUAAAUGGAGUAAAUCAGCCAAAUCAUUACUUAUCAUGUGCUUAAUUCAUUGUCAUGGAUUUUUCUCCAUAAGUACUCAUUAUGUCCUUGCAAAUGCAUUGCUGUUGCAUUUCCCUGUAAACAUUAUUUAGGUUUUUUCACUAAUUAGUUAAUACAUAUUACAUUAAUGUUUUUUAAAUUUGGAUGAAAUCACAAGUGCUUAAUUCAGCUUACAAAUGUCUUUGUGCUAUGUUACUGAUAAGUUUAUUUAAAGAGUUUUGUAGGGAAAGUUGUAUAAAAUAAAGAAUUUUGCAAGAGUCAUGAAGAUACAAGAGAAGUAAAGAAGACAUUUUCUACUCUGUGUGUGCUAAAACUACAAGAGACUGAGGAACAUCUCAUCUGCAGCUGGUGAGAAAUUGUGGGAGCUAAGAUUCAUCUCAAGAUGCAGUGCCAAGGCCCUGACAUGCUUCAUCUUUUUCCUCCACAGUGAGUUCUAUUUUCUUCUUUUUACAGCUGUUUCCUCAGUCCCUUUUGCACAAGGUUCUUUGUUGUGUGUGUUCCUGGGGACUGUGUGGGAAGAUGCAGAUCAUGAGAGGGGAUGAUGUGAGCAAUUCACAAAGUCCUUUGACAUACAAUACAGGCAGAACAUACUACUGGCUUAACAUGAGGAAGCACAGGUGAUGGGAAACAGCUCAGAGGUUCAAGAAGUUCUUCUUCAAGAAGAGGAAAAUAUUGAAGAAGAAUCAGUGGUAUUAUUUUACAAAAUCAUAGAAUCAUAGACUAUUCUGAGUUGGAAGGGACCCACAAGGAUCACUGAGUUCAACUCUUGGCCCUGCACAGGAAGGCCCCAAGAGUCACACUAUGUGCCCAAGAACAUUGUCCAAAAGCUUCUUCUAACAAGCCUUUGGGUGAAAAAGCUUUUCCUGAUAUCCAAUGUAAACCUCUCCUGACACAGCUUUGGUCCAUUCCCUUUGGUGCUGUCACUGGUCAUCAGAGAGAAGACAUUGGUACCUGCCCCUCCACUUCCCCUUGUGAGGAUGUUGAAGAACUCAAUGAAGUGUUCCCCUCAGUCUUCUCUUCCCCAGGCUGAACAAGCCAAGUGACCACAGCCUCUCCUCAUACAGUGUUCCCUUCAGACCCUUCACCAUCUUUGUAGCCCUUCUUUGGACACUCCCUAAUAACUUUCUAUCUUUCUCAAAUGAUGGUUGCCCAAAACCACACAGGAUUUGAGGUGAGGCUGCCCCAGAACAGAGCAGAGCAGGACAAUCCUCUCCCUUGCCUGGCUGGUGAUGCUGUGCCCAAUGCCCCCCAGGACAGCGUUGACCCUCCUGGAUGCCAGGGCACUGCUGAUUCAUCUUCUCAUUGAUGAGGACCCCCUGUAAGUGGUCCUGCUUUGCAGCGUCUCAUUCCCCACUCUGUUCAUACAUCCAGGCUUGCCCCAUCCCAGGAACAGACUCCAGCACUUGUCUUUGUUGAACUUCAUAUGGUUGGUGAUUUCCCAUCUCUCUAACUUCAGGGAAGAUUUUGUUUUGAGGGGGGGAAGAGGGAAGAAUAAAAGCAAAGAGGAAUGUUUCUGUUUCAGAGUCUGGAGUGCCCUGUGCUCUCACCUAAAGAGCAAAUUAUUUUCUUGUGGUGACUUUAACUAAAUGGAGUUGAUCUAUCCUUUGCUUUUGAUGCAAAGCGAGACAACUGAGGAUUUUAAAAUUAAAGGAGUUGUGGUAUUUACUGAGCAGACUGGAAGGAGGCCUGGACAGCACAUCCCUAUUGCCACAUCCAUUCUUUCCUAGCUGCUACCACAGGUAAUACAGUGGCAUUAUCCACUUGGUGGGAAGAAAUGUUGAACAAGGAACAGUGGAAGUAGGCCCUGGGCCAGGAGCCUUACAUUAUCCAAUCCUGAGCACAUGGCAAGUCUCUUUGCCAGAAGAAUUUCUGCUUAACAACUUUGAAGUAACACCAGUGCAACAGAAGCACGCCACUUUUGAACAUGGCUAUUUCAAUAGAUUUGACUGUAGUAAAGUUCUUGUAUCUCGUGUAUAAGAACACAAACAUCUAGUUUGUCUCUGUUUUUCCCUUAGUAUUCACAGUUUGCUUUGGGCACUUGCAGCAUUUAGGAAGAAUAUCAGUCUGAUUUGUUGCCUGCAAGAGAGUCUAAUUAAAACAAGAGUGCAGGAUGGGAACUGAUGACACACAGUGCAGCUGAGCUGCUCCCAAAGCUGAACAUGGCAGCUGUGGUUUCCGUCAUUUGCAAAACCUCAGCCAACACGUUGGCCCCACAGAGUUAAAAUAAAUGUCUAAUUAUGUUGUUUAACUAUUUUGGUUCCAAAUUCCUGCUUGAAAAGUAUUGCAAAAGAUGUGAGAGAAGCACUGAGAGUGCCAUUAUCACGUCUGUGGCUUGCCAGUAAAUCGAUGCUUUCUCUUAGUCAGGUUCCUCCCUUCCCUGUGCCUGUGGUCAGGCUGCAGAGGAAGCAGAGUGUGUGCUUGUACCAGUCUCCAGCCCUCUCCCCUCCCGUCACUUGGCACUGACUCACAGCACUGUGUUUUCAACAUGAUGCUAAUUAGCUGCUGAGUAGUGAGAUACUGUGAACUCUGAGAGAAAAGACAGACUUCAAAGAUGUUUUCCAUUUUUUUUUUAAAUUUUGACAGUAAUAAAAAAAAUUCUUAUCACUGUGGUCUGGAUCCAGCAAUUUCUUAUGUGCAGGAAGAUAUUGUGCUAGGUUAUUCUGGGGUGAGGAGGCUGUGACUUUGUUCUUUGCUUUCCAUGGAGUGGGCCAAAGAGAGGGAACAAAUAUGGAUUGCUGUGCCAAAUUUGGUGGCUAUAAUUCGACAGGGUGGUACUAGUGUGCCAAGCAGAGGAAAAUUCAUGCAGGAAGAGAGACUGAGAUUCCUCCAUCAGAACAACCUCUUGGGAGGUCUUGUUAGGUCUGAGCCCAGUUUGGGGCACUGACAUCUUUUCAUGCACAGCUUAAACAAAUGCUCUUGGUUAAAGUGACGAGGACCAUUAGGUCCUUCAGAAUCCCUGUUGUUUUAUUCCAUAUUCACAAAAUCACUUGCCAGUAAAUCAACUGGUAAUGUCCCAACUAAUGGGUCUAUGGUCUUUGGACAUAGGCUGUCUAUCAGUUAAGCUGUUUCUGAACCAAAUGUUCAUCAAAAUGGUCUUUAUCCAGAACCCUGGAAAUAAAGUGACUUUUUACACACAAAUGGUUACCACUGGUCAUGCAUCUUUAAUUAAGUGGUGGCCCACUUCUGCCAUACUAUGUUAUUCUUAAUUUGUCAUUCUUCAAAUAGCUUAAUAAGAUAUAAAUGUUGAAUAUAUUGUAAAAAUCUAGGGGAAAAAGUUUUUGAGAAAGACUUUUUUCAUCUGAGUCCAUUUGUCUUUUAUUUUCCUGAUGUUAAAGGUCUUUCCUUGCCCAGUUUUGAAAAUUCUGCACAACAUAUAAUCAAUAUAGUCAGUGGCCCACUUGCUAUUAAUUUGUGUGAUCAAGACCUCUGAACUCCUCAGGGAACACUUUGAGUCAACAGUUUGCAUUCAUCAGGCUCAUGAUUCACACACAAAUAAACUGUGACUGUAGCUGAUGUGCUUGCUUAGUUAUCUUGAGAUCAUUAUUUUGUUCUCCCACAAACUGAGUUUCAUGUUUCUCAUAAUUAUACUGAGACGUCUUUGUUUUCACAUGGAACAAAUAAGAGAGGAAAAUGAAAGCUAGAGGUCCAAGAAGUCAAGUCUUUUCUGUAUCCAGUGUUUUGGCCUUCUUUGAUUGAUGAACAUUUUGAAUUCCAAAGGGAUUAACUGCAAUAACAGUUGUUAAUUAUUGCAAAGGGAAACUGGCUGAAGAGAAAAAGUACUUGUUUCCAGAGCUAGGUUGCAUAUCUCUCUUCAGCUAAGGGCAUAUUGAUACUAUGAACAAUGACUGCACACCACAGUCAACUGAAAAACCAAUUGAUUUUUUAGUAUUUUUUUGGAGCAUGUGGUCAGUUGGUGAUAUUCUCCUUUUCUAGUCCAGGUAUUCUGAUUUUAAUUCUCAGUUUUGUCUCCAAACAAAUGCUUUUUGUAAUUAGAGAAUUACAAAAAGACUUUCUGAAAAGUCUACAUAGGAGGAAAAGUAUGUUUAACUUAUUUUGUUCUAGUAUGAUCUUGUGAGGAGUUCAAAUGUGAUGACUGCAUACAAAUCUUGGUGCCCUAUGGUAGGAAUUUAAAUGAAAUAUUUUUAUUUCUCUUAAACUGGAGAUAACAUAACUUACAAAUUAACAAAAAGUAAAGCUGGAGGAAAAUUAAAUUAAAUACUUCCAGCUGCCCUUGGAUCUCUAAAACUUGUCAGUCUCUUUCCUUGUUUCACUUUUUGCAUGUGCACAUCUGAGUAGUAUUUUAUUCUCAUAUGUAUUUCAGGAUUUAUUCAUGUCUAUUUGUUUAAACUGUGUAAUUCAUAAAUGUGUAGAUUGUUGUUAGCUUUUAUCCAGAUACCAGCCAUAAUUCCUUUUUAUCUUGACCAUUAUUGUCAUAUAAUUCAAAGUAAAUCUAAAAUAACAUUUUAUUUUCUACACCUUUUAGCAUUCUUCUACAAAAGAAGUGAAAACUGCUCUUCUAUUUUUUUUAAUGAGGGAGAAUUACUUAACGGAUAUUAAAAUAUACCAUGAUUUCUCCUGCUUACUAAAUCCCUGAUCUGAUCCCAGGUCAUAAGAAGCUGAAGGAGACAGAAAUCAGUGUUAACUGUACCUGUCCAAAUGUGAAUUUUCUCCUGAGUAUGCAAAGGAAGGUCAUGAAUCAACACACGCCAUGCUGGACCUCUGCUGGUGUGACCACAUCUUGGCUGUGGGGAUGCACUUGGCUACUUUUGAAGGCUUACACUUACCACUGCCAGCUGUAAAGCAGAAGGACUUUGCAGCCAGCAUGAGGCCAGCGUGGGAGGAUGUGCUGCUGCUGUCUUUCGCAGCUCAUCUCUCUGCUCUGUGGAGGUGCUUUAUUUAUCAGGUGCAAUGAGCAUGAGACCUCCAAACCUGAGAUUUUAUUGUGCCACAGAGCCCAGAAAGGCAACCAUGCUUCCCAGGGACAGCAAUCUUCCUUCAGCUGCAAAUGCAAGAGGGGACUACAAUUAAUAUUGCACAGUGCAUGUUUUGAAAAAAUACUUCAUCGAAACUGUGUCAGCUUUAAAUUUUUAAGUUGAAUAUUAUCCUGGAUUUUCAAACACUUUGUUAAGUAAUGGAUACAUACAGGUGCUUGCAAUUAUAGAGGAGUGAAACUUUCACAGCAUGUCAAUGGCACAUCCUGUUGCUAUCAAAAGAGUCACAGGUGAGGUUUCCCAGGCAAGUAUUAAUUAAGCUAGCAAAAGGGACAGCAAAAGCUGUUAUGUUAAGGAUAGCUUUCCACAUCACAAUCCAUGCUUAGAAAAUGUGAAUAAUGUUUUCUUUUGAAAAGGCUACAGUAAAAUGGGAAUGGAGGAAGGAAGAAAAAACCAGAAUGUAGUAUGUUCAGACUUUUUUUUUUCCCCCCAGCUUGUUAAUGCUUGUUACCUUUAUACAGCUUCUCUGCUGUUAAAAUAAAAUUGAAAGAAAAUACAUCCCUUACAUUUCAAUGAAAAAUUUAAAAGACUGAAAUGGACACAUUCCUGCAAUAUCUUCUUAUUCAGAACAUCUCUGGAAUUUUCCGGUACUUCAGUGAAACAUUUAGGUGUCCCACAUAGUUUCUUUUCCAGUUUUCAGUAUUCCCCUCAUGGGGAUGGUCUCCCUGACUCAUCAUGCCAUCCAGUUGCUGUAUCUCUUUCAACUUUAAGUGUAUGUUUACACAGUUAAAUUAAGUGUUCUGUAAAUUAAAUGCUCUACUAAAAUCCCGCCAGGAGACUGCCAUUGGUCGAUGCAGACUUUUUCCUUCAAAUCCAUUGCCCUCUCCAAUGAGAAAUUUCCAGAGAUCCCCCCUCUUCUAGGUUUCUUAUCCAUCCACAGAGGUAGUGUAGGCUAUCAACUUUAACUUUCAACCCUCACGUGAGAUCAGCUUUAGAUAUUUCUGUUGCAAGUUUCUAAACUACACUGGAAACUUUUUGAGUGCUACUAUGGCAGCAGCAAGGCAUGAGUUGUAUCACUGUGGAGGCUGUGCAACUUCACAGUGAGGACACCAGUACCUGCUUGGGUCUAGAUUCAAAAGGGCCUUACUUGCCUUCUGGGCUUUGCAGCACCUAACUUGAAUUUAGAAAUGAGGAAGAACUAUUAAAGAGUUCAACCCUCUUGGAUAAAGAAUAAUCUGGGUAUAGCAGCAAACUUUGGAAUUGUUACUACCCUGACUUUUACCUUAUUGUAAUGGUAGCCAGAAUUAUAUGCAUGAAAUUUGAACAAAAUUUGAACAUAAUUAGUAAUACUCUCAAUAUAUUUUCUAAAUACAUGACUGAGUGAAAUUCUAGCUAAUUAUUUUCAUAUUUUUCCUUAUAAUUAAAUGCUUUUGGAUAUUUUGUACUUAGGAACAGAUUUUAUUCUUUAAUACUCAUUAAAAACCAUGACCAAGGUGCACAGUGUAGCUUUAAAGCAUCUCACAAGUUUUCUAUUUCAAGAUUCAGAGCAUCAAAAUUAUGAUCUGUCUGAAAUUAUAAAUGAACCUUCUUCAAAAUGUUUGCCUUUAUGAUCUCCUAGUUUGCAUUUCUCCAAUAUUAUUUGUUACUUAUAAUACAAUUUGCCUUGUUUUGUUUUGAUGCUUGAAUUUCAUGUUACAGUAGCAAUAACACACUCCAGUUGAGUUUCACUCUGCUUGAGUGCUUACAAAACCAUUUGGCUUUCUAUCUCAUACCUGUUAAUGCCUCCUGCAGUCUGCAAUAUCCAUUCAAGAAAUUCACUGCUUGUCAUGGCCUAUUGGUUUAAAUUAAAAAACUAAAUUUGGAAACUCCACAUGCUCUGCUAUCAGUUUUUCUAGUGUAAAGCUGUCUUAUCAUGGGAAAUUGCCGAUGGACUUCACCAUGCCUGAAAAAAUUCAGCAUCAAUAGAGUAGAAACAGAGUAAAAGAAUAUUUUGGCUGUGUGAUCUUGGUGAAAUAUAGUGUAGAUAUAAAUGUGAAACCUGUCAAAAAAAAAAAAAAUCCAAAUUAUUUUAAAGCAACCUCUGCUUUGGGAGAUUGAAUGCACCAUGGAGACCCUGAGGUGGAAUGUGACAUGGCAGUAUCAGUCAGAGAUACUCACACAGGUGAGGAGGCACUACAGGAACAUCAGCAAAGCAUCAUGCCUGUGCCAGCCUGUGCUGCGUGAUAAUCGUGCCUCUCUGUGACAGCUUGUGUGGAGACAUGUCUGCUGGCUGUGAUGUAAACACAGCAGUCCAAGAGCAUCCUGAGUCACCACAGCCUUUUGCCUUCAGGAUAGCCCCCAAAUCCCUUUUUGCCUGACUAGGCCUACUCAUGUGGUACUUAAAAUCCUGGGGAGACACUGACAGUCAACAGAACAGGUUUGCACACUGAGAAGGGAUGCCAUCCAGAAAAACCUUUUGGGACAAAUUUUGGAAGUGGACCUGUGUUCAAGACCAAGUGUGAGGUCCUGCACCUCAGUCAGGGCAAUCCCAAACACAAGUACUGGAUGGAGACCAGAUCAAGAGAAAUAUUUGGGCUGUUGGACAAGAAACUUGACAUGAGCCAGCAAUGUGUGCUUGGAUCCCGGAGGUUAACUGUGUCCUGGGCUACAGCCAAAGCAGCAUGGCCAGCAGGCUAAGAGCAGUCAUUCUGCUCCUCUACUCCACUCUUGUGAGACCCCACCUGGAGUUCUGCAUUCAACUCUGGAGCACCUAACAUAAGAAAGUCAUGGACCUACUGGAAAUGAGUCCACAGGAAGGCCAUGAAGAUGCCCAAUGGACUGGAAUACUUCUUCCCCUAUGAGGACAGGCUGAGAGAGUUGGGGUUUAGCCUAGUGAAGAGAAGUCUCUAGGGAGAUGCUAUAGCAGCCUUCCAGUACCUACAGUGGCUACAAGAGAGCUGGAGAGGGACUUUUUGCAAGGGCAUGUAGUGAUGGAACAAGAGGGAGCAACUUCAAAUUAUAGGAGGGAAUAUUUGCAUUAGUGUUAGAAAGAAAUUCCUUACCCAGAGAGUAGUGAGGCACUGGAACAGGUUUCCCAGAGUUGUGGAUGAACCACCUCUGGAAACACCCAAACCAGGCUGGCUGACACUUUGAGCAACCUGGUUUAGAGGAAGGUGUCCCUUCCCAUGGCAGAGCAGUUGGAACUAGGUGAUCUUUAAGGUCUCUUCCAACCCUACCUUGCUAUGUUUCUAUGAAAGUGUCACACCCAGCAGUGGGUGUGACAAAGGUCUCACUUCUAUAUAUCUAAGAAUACUGUAUCUCCCACUGGAAAGGAAUACUACCUGCUCUGUACUACAGAGGAAAGCCGAUCAGUAAAAGCACAUAACCAAGGGUAAACACAGUUGUUAUGUAAAGGGUGACAAGCAAGUCUGUAAGAACUCCUGGCUCUACCCCAGCACUGCAAGUCUGAGUCUAGAUAGCUCAGAUCAGUGAGGUGCUCAAUCUAGAUUGUUGCACUUGUGUAUCUGCCUGCUUUAUCAAUGCUUAGACUCGGCAGAUCAGCUUCUCAUCAAUCUGAAGGGCAAUUUCCUUUACAGCAUCCUACCAAAUACCAUCUAGAGAUAAGUUUACAUAAAAACCUGAAAAUCCAGGUAUUUUUAGUGUUCACUUAAUGGAUAGGAUGGGAUCCCUUGCAAUAAUGUGGUAGAAGCCUGUAUUAGGAAAAGAAGUUGGUUUACAUGCAAAGGUUCAGUCACACCGUUGGGAUGAGGGAAGUCUAGAUUAAAUACUUUCAGUAGAUCUGUCCUGUCCCUGGGAAAUGCUCUCAAGUGGGAGAGAGCAUUGGGUAAAUUUGACCUGUGUUAAAGCUGUGCCCUUGUGCAGGUACACAAUGUUCAAAUUUUUGGAUGCCAGACAGAAGAGUAUAGCUGGGCCCUUGGUAUAUCUACUUAAUGUUUUCAAGCAGAUGCCAGCUUUGUAUCUUCACGUGUCAAGCUGGCUGAAUGUGAGCCAGCUCUCAGCUGAAGCUGUGCAGCUCUAGGUAAUGCAUUACUUGCUCUAGGAUAAUCAGAAUCAGGAUUUCUUUAGGCUGGAUCCACUGCCACUCCAAAGCAACUAGAGAAUAUUCAACCUGCUGAUAGAGCAGGCACCUCUUAAAUAAGGGCACCCAGCUUUGAGGUGCCUGGAGAAGGCCUUGGACUCCAGUCACAACCUCCAACUGUUCCUGGGCUUGUAGGUGUUCUCCAUCUAUGUCGCAGAAAUCAUACCAAGUUUGGAUUGAUCACAGCACGAUCAAAGCCAUGCUGUGACAAUAAGCAAUUUGAGCUUCCCUUUUUUCUGUUCCUGACUAGACCACUAUAGAGCUUUUCAGUGUUUAUAGCUUUAUAACUUAGUUAUUUAUCUCCAGGUCACAUCACGUGCUGUGUCUUGACUGCAAAUUGAUUUUUGUUCACUGUGUAGCUCUAACUUUUAAAAAUAAAGUUGUUGUGGAAUUGUGGU